GGGGUUGUGGCUCAGUGGCAGAGCACUUGCCCCGCAUGCAUGAGGCACUGGGUUUGAUCCUCAGCACCACA
rnacentral:tRNA from 1 species